rnacentral:rRNA from 1 species
GCUGUGGAACUCCUACUGGAGGCAGCAGCGGGGAAUAUUGGACAAUGGGGGCAACCCUGAUCCAGCAAUUCUGUGUGCACGAUGAGGGUCUUCGGAUUGUAAAGUGCUUUCAGCAGGGAAGAAAAAAAUGACGGUACCUGCAGAAGAAGCGACGGCUAAAUACGUGCCAGCAGCCGCGGUAAUACGUAUGUCGCGAGCGUUAUCCGGAAUUAUUGGGCAUAAAGGGCAUCUAGGCGGCCGGAUAAGUCUGGGGUGAAAACUUGCGGCUCAACCGCAAGCCUGCCCUGGAAACUAUGCGGCUAGAGUACUGGAGAGGUGGACGGAACUGCACGAGUAGAGGUGAAAUUCGUAGAUAUGUGCAGGAAUGCCGAUGAUGAAGAUAGUUCACUGGACGGUAACUGACGCUGAAGUGCGAAAGCUAGGGGAGCAAACAGGAUUAGAAACCCGGGUAGUCCUACCACGU